AACGAACGCUGGCGGCAUGCCUAACACAUGCAAGUCGAACGAAGGCUUCGGCCUUAGUGGCGCACGGGUGCGUAACGCGUGGGAAUCUGCCCUUGGGUCUGGGAUAACGGCGGGAAACUGCCGCUAAUACCGGAUGAUAUCGCGAGAUCAAAGAUUUAUCGCCUGAGGAUGAGCCCGCGUAGGAUUAGGUAGUUGGUGUGGUAAAGGCGCACCAAGCCGACGAUCCUUAGCUGGUCUGAGAGGAUGAUCAGCCACACUGGGACUGAGACACGGCCCAGACUCCUACGGGAGGCAGCAGUGGGGAAUAUUGGACAAUGGGCGCAAGCCUGAUCCAGCAAUGCCGCGUGAGUGAUGAAGGCCUUAGGGUUGUAAAGCUCUUUACCCGGGAAGAUAAUGACUUACCGGAGAUA
rnacentral:rRNA from 1 species